rnacentral:rRNA from 1 species
GACGAACGCUGGCGGCGUGCUUAACACAUGCAAGUCGAACGGAAAGGCCCUGCUUUUGUGGGGUGCUCGAGUGGCGAAAGGGUGAGUAACACGUGAGUAACCUGCCCUUGACUUUGGGAUAACUUCAGGAAACUGGGGCUAAUACCGGAUAGGAGCUCCUGCUGCAUGGUGGGGGUUGGAAAGUUUCGGCGGUUGGGGAUGGACUCGCGGCUUAUCAGCUUGUUGGUGGGGUAGUGGCUUACCAAGGCUUUGACGGGUAGCCGGCCUGAGAGGGUGACCGGCCACAUUGGGACUGAGAUACGGCCAAGACUCCUACGGGAGGCAGCAGUGGGGAAUAUUGCACAAUGGGCGGAAGCCUGAUGCAGCAACGCCGCGUGCGGGAUGACGGCCUUCGGGGUGUAAACCGCUUUCGCCUGUGACGAAGCGUGAGUGACGGUAAUGGGUAAAGAAGCACCGGCUAACUACGUG